GUCUUUUCAUAACAUUUAUGACCUCUGUACUCAGAGUGUUGUUUAUGUUUCUCAGCAACAGCAAGGACCACAACAACAGCAGCAGCAGCAACAACAACACCACCACCACUACCACCACCAACAAGUUUAUGGACAACACCAUCUACACCUACUGGAAAUCCUUUCAUUAGAAAACUGGUACAAGGGCUGCUGGCAGUAGCAGGUGUUGUGGUGGUUAUUACAAUAAUAGUGGUUUCAUUUUCCAUUUAUAAGAAGAAACGGAGGACCGCAACUACGAGGACACAAAAUGAUGACCUAAAUACCAGUGAAGAAAAUGCAAAGACGUCCAGGAGAACAGAAGAUGAAUCAGAUUGCACGUAUGCAAACGUCCAAAUUCAGAUGCAAAAAUCAGAUGCCAGUGAUGUUACCCAUACAGAUGUCAUAUACAGCAACACAAUCAAGGCCACUGAUAACCAGAUGUCUCCUCAAGAGACAGACUAUGCAACACUGUGAACAAAUGGUCAAAAGUUAACAUACUUCUGCAUUUUUGUCUAAAACUUGACCUCUUCAAACCACUUUUGGAUUCCUUCCUAACUGUUGGAGCUUCACCAUAUGCAGACAUCAGAAUUUCAGUGUCUGCAAGUUGUGCUACUGCCCCCUGUGGACAGCUGUUGGUUACUGCACUAUUGCCACCUCACUGUGCCAUCUUGUUACCGACUCCUUCAGUAUAGUCAACGUUUUCUCUCACAGUCUCUAGUUGUAGCUCUGGUCAGGUGCCGGUGAAGGGAAUUGAUUCAUUCCCCUUGUUCCCAGUCAGUAACUGGCCAGUUUAGUUGUCACAUGUAAAGUCCCAGCAACUGUAUGGGCUCUUUUUUGUGAAAUUUAUAUGAAUUUCGGGGGCAGGGCGGUGGUGCAGCGGGCUUCGCCAGCUCCUACUCUCUGGUGGGUCUGGGGUUCAAGUCCUGCUUAGGGUGCCUUGUGAUGGACUGGUGUCCCGUCCUGGGUGUGUCCCCUCCCCCUCAAGCCUUGCGCCCUAUGUUGCUGGGUAGACUCCGGCUCACCGCAACCUUGCUCGGGACCAACGGUUGUUGAAAAUGACAAUUCAAUUUAUUUUCAUAGAGCGCUCUUCUCAUGCAGCGACCCAGAGCGGUUUAACACAGGCAUAAGGCAAGAAAAACAAGUACAUCAGAACACAGAAACAAUGAAAACAGUUGACUACAGACUACUGUAAUACAUUAUCAAUGCUUUUAUGAAGUUAUAAGUAUGCCUACUGGCCAUGGAGGAAAGGAACAAAACUCCCAACUGAAAAUCAAGGGAGAAAAAAACCAAGGGCCAGUGGCUGCCCACCCCUCCUGGGCAUUCUAGAUUAAAUAAGACUUCUAAGCCAGUUUAAUAAGUAAUAGUGGGAUUGUUGCUGUGUGGUAGCUUCAUCUCCCAGUUCAGCAAGGUACAGCAAAGACAAUGACCUUUCUGUAUAAAUGAGCAAACAAUGGUGUGUCUCAUAGUGUAGACACUAACACUAAAAGUGUGCUUUGGUAAAUGGGUCAGACUGAUAAUUAUAAUUGUAAAUAUAAAUGUAAAUAAAUAAAUGUAAAUGUAAGUAAUUGGCA
rnacentral:lncRNA from 1 species